rnacentral:rRNA from 1 species
ACACGUAGGGCGCAAGCGUUGUCCGGAUUUAUUGGGCGUAAAGGGCUCGUAGGCGGUUUCGUAAGUCGGGUGUGAAAACUCAGGGCUCAACCCUGAGACGCCACUCGAUACUGCGAUGACUUGAGUCCGGUAGGGGAGCAGGGAAUUCCUGGUGUAGCGGUGAAAUGCGCAGAUAUCAGGAGGAUCACCAUUAGCGAAGGCGCUGCUCUGGGCCGGUACUGACGCUGAGGAGCGAAAGCAUGGGGAGCAAACAGGAUUAGAAACCCCAGUAGUCC